GCCGGGGUGGCGGAAUUGGCAGACGCAAGGGACUUAAAAUCCCUCGGAUAUUUAUAUCCGUGCCGGUUCGACUCCGGCCCUCGGCA
rnacentral:tRNA from 1 species